GAUGAACGCUGGCGGCGUGCUCAACACAUGCGAGUCGAACGAUGAAGCCCAGCUUGCUGGGUGGAUUAGUGGCGAACGGGUGAGUAACACGUGAGCAACCUGCCCCUGACUCUGGGAUAAGCGCUGGAAACGGCGUCUAAUACUGGAUAUGUCCCGUCACCGCAUGGUGGGCGGGUGGAAAGAUUUUUCGGUUGGGGAUGGGCUCGCGGCCUAUCAGCUUGUUGGUGAGGUAAUGGCUCACCAAGGCGUCGACGGGUAGCCGGCCUGAGAGGGUGACCGGCCACACUGGGACUGAGACACGGCCCAGACUCCUACGGGAGGCAGCAGUGGGGAAUAUUGCACAAUGGGCGAAAGCCUGAUGCAGCAACGCCGCGUGAGGGAUGACGGCCUUCGGGUUGUAAACCUCUUUUAGCAGGGAAGAAGCGAAAGUGACGGUACCUGCAGAAAAAGCACCGGCUAACUACGUGCCAGCCGCCGCCGUAACAC
rnacentral:rRNA from 1 species